AGCGUGUCGCUCUCCCCAAGGACGAAGCCAUGCAUGCCCGCUCACCCGGGACGCGGCGGACGGCUCAGGACAACGGUUGCACCCCCCGCGGCGGUCCCUGCUAGCCGGACACCGCUGGCAACCCGGCGCCAA
rnacentral:rRNA from 1 species